rnacentral:rRNA from 1 species
GGAUUGGGAGGGUUCUACGGAACCCGUUUGGUGAAUCUAGUGCCGAGAAAAGCCUUCUAUGUGUUGAAUUUCUAGUACCCGUACCCCAAACCGACACAGGUGGGUGGGUAGAGCAUACCUAGGGGCGCGUGAUAACUCUCUCUAAGGAACUCGGCAAAAUGGCCCUGUAACUUCGGGAUAAGGGGUGCCUGCGUGAGCAGGCCGCAGUGAAAUGGCUCUGGCGACUGUUUACCAAAAACACAGGUCUCUGCUAAGUCGUAAGACGAUGUAUAGGGGCUGACUCCUGCCCAGUGCCGGAAGGUUAAGGAAGUUGGUUAGCGCAAGCGAAGCUGGCGACCGAAGCCCCGGUGAACGGCGGCCGUAACUAUAACGGUCCUAAGGUAGCGAAAUUCCUUGUCGGGUAAGUUCCGACCCGCACGAAAGGAGUAACGAUCAGAGCGCUGUCUCGGAGAGAGACACGGCGAAAUAGGAUUGUCCGUGAAGAUACGGACUACCUGCACCCGGACAGAAAGACCCUAUGAAGCUUUACUGUAACUUGGAAUUGUGUUCGGACUUUGUCUGCGCAGAAUAGGUGGGAGGCUAUGAAACGUUCCUCGCGGGGAACUGGAGCCAUCGUUGAGAUACCACUCUGGCAGAGUCUGGAUUCUAACCUACGGGGACAGUUCCAGGUGGGCAGUUUGACUGGGGCGGUCGCCUCCUAAAAUGUAACGGAGGCGCGCAAAGGUUCCCUCAGGCUGGUUGGAAAUCAGCCAUAGAGUGUAAAAGCAUAAGGGAGCUUGACUGUGAGACCUACAAGUCGAGCAGGGACGAAAGUCGGCUUUAGUGAUCCGACGGCACUGAGUGGAAGGGCCGUCGCUCAACGGAUAAAAGUUACUCUAAGGAUAACAGGCUGAUCUCCCCCAAGAGUUCACAUCGACGGGGAGGUUUGGCACCUCGAUGUCGGUUCGUCGCAACCUGGGGCGGUAGUACGUCCCAAGGGUUGGGCUGUUCGCCCAUUAAAGCGGCACGUGAGCUGGGUUCAGAACGUCGUGAGACAGUUCGGUCCAUAUCCGGUGUAGGCGUAGGAGCAUUGAAAGGAUCUCUCCUUAGUACGAGAGGACCGGGAGGGACGUACCUCUGGUGUACCUGUUAUCGUGCCAACGGUAAACGCAGGGUAGCCAUGUACGGAGUGGAUAACCGCUGAAAGCAUCUAAGUGGGAAGCCCACCUUAAGAUGAGUGCUCCCUUGAGGCCACGGGAAGACGACCCGUUUGAUAGGCGCUAGGUGGAAGUGCAGUAAUGCAUGCAGCCGAGGCGUACCAAUAGGCCGAUGGCUUGUC